UAGCCGUAAACGAUACUCGCUAGGUGUCGGCCACGGUGCGACCGUUGUCGGUGCCGUAGGGAAGCCGUGAAGCGAGCCACCUGGGAAGUACGGCCGCAAGGCUGAAACUUAAAGGAAUUGGCGGGGGAGCACCACAACGGGUGGAGCUUGCGGUUUAAUUGGAUUCAACGCCGGAAAUCUUACCGGGACCGACAGCAACAUGAAGGCCAAACUGAGGACUUUGCCGGAUUAGCUGAGAGGUGGUGCAUGGCGUAGUCGUGU
rnacentral:rRNA from 1 species